CACAAUUAUCGGGACAGAAACAGAUCAGUAUUUGCCAGUGGGUGAGUGAGGGGAGAGGAGUUUACUACCGAGGGGCUGAACUGUGGCUGUGCAGUGCUGGGUACGUGAUGCUGUGUUUGUCAAACCCCACAGGACUGGACCUCACUGUAGGAACAACGAGAUCAACAAGAGGAGCAAGAACAACAUCAAGAGUCGGGGCCUGGGGGUCCUGACGGGUACAGGACGGGUACAGACCCACACAGGAAUCCCAGAGUGUGUUCCACGGCAGGACACGCCUGCGCUGAAAGAGUGGGCAGAAAGGAGCUGACCUGGACCAAACCAAUGCACAACUCCUAUGUACUGAUGGUGAUCUUACAUCUCCCGAAGCUACUGCCCGACUACGCUGUGCAACGUUCUCAGGGCCUCCUGAAGCUGCGUCAGGCAUCAGUCAAAGAACACAACCAAGGUCGUGGUCCUCACAUUUGGCUCAAAAUAUUCAAAGUUUUUUCCAGAGUUUGGCCUUUUCUUCAGCACUGGGAAUUGUGAUCCAAAGCUUUUCCUGAUGAAGCACAAUCUUGGAGAAGCAAAAUGCAAACUAAACAACAACAAUCAAACAGAACAGAGUUAAUCUGCUGUAGCUCAAGGGAGGACGUACCUGCCCCACCCCGCAUUCCCGAGCUCGGGUUUGCCUUGCUGACCUCUGCUGCCACCUGGUGCCGCACAGAGAAACUGAGGAGAAACCACAUCGGUCUCCUUCAGCCUCAGCUUCACAUCUGUGGGCCAAGUAACCCCGUCAGAAGCUGUAUAAUGUGCGAAAGCUUUCCUCUCAGGAAAAUGCACACAUCCAACUUUGUGAAGAUGCCCUUAGAGGCGCUUCAAGGAUCCUAGAGAAAGAACCCCCUUUCCUGAACUUCCAAGAACCUAAGUUUUUUUUUUUUUUUUUGAGACAGAGUCUUGCUCUCCCAGUCUGGAGUGCAGUGGCGUGAUCUCGGCUCACUGCAAGCUCCACCUCCUGGGUUCACGCCAUUCUCCUGCCUCAGCCUCCCGAGCAGCUGGGACUACAGGCACCCGCCGCCACACCCAGCUAAUUUUUUGUAUUUUUAGUAGAGAUGGGGUUUCACUGCGUUAGCCAGGAUGGUCUCGAUCUCCUGACCCUGGGAUCCACCCACCUCGGCCUCCCAAAGUGCUGGGAUUACAGGCGUGAGCCACCGCGCCUGCCCCAAGAACCCAAGUUUUAGAUCUGGAGUGAUGUGAGCAUGACAUUCAUUUCCUGAGGCCCAGGGGUGAAGGAGCUGAGGACAGCACGGGUGAAGGAACUCAGCUACAGACAGCAGCUGAUGCACAGGCCUCCCAUCACCGGAAGUCACCCGGAAUUAGGAUGUGCUCAGAAGGUUACAAAGCUGCCUCGAGGUGGGAACACAUUAAUCCAAGAGCAGAUCCCUGAUUGUAUAAAAAUGUACUAGAUUCAGUGGGGGCAUUUUAAAUCAGCAGGGAAGGACAGACAGAUAAACAGAAGGACAAACAGUAUUGGGAUUGGGAUAAAUGCUCAGCUUUUGCCUAAAUCUUAGGGACUUAACACAAGCAUCACUUAUUUGCUCACGAUUCUGUGAGUGGACCAUUUGGUUUGGCUCACAGGGCAGUGACUGUGCUCGUCUUACCUGAGCGGACCUGCAUGUCUGCGGUUAACUGGGUUGGCAGAGACAGAGUGACUGUCUUCCUCCAGGAAGCAGCAGGUUGGCUCUGGCUCCUUCGUGGGCAGCUGGUCUCCAGGGCAGCAAGAGAGACCAAGCCCCCGUGCACAUGCUACAGCCUCUGUGCGCAUCAGAGUUGUUAAUAUCCCAUUGGCCAGCGCAAGUCACACGGCCAAGCCCAGAUCAAGGAGUGGAAAGAUGGAGCCUGUCUCCUCCUGGGAGAGGAGGCAAAGGAGGUGGGAGCAUUAUGUGGCCACUUGUGUUUGCAAUCUACCAUACUUGGCACUUUGAGAAAAGAAUUAACUGAGAAACUUGCUUCAAAUAGGGCAUUCACUGAAAUGAAGCCCCAAUUGAAGUAAAAUGCAUAUAUAAAAAAUGAAACUGUGACCGAUUUUAAGGACAGUAUUGGUAAAUACUUCUGUGCUCUUGGAGGAGAAGACCCUUAUUGUCAUGACAUGUCAGAAAUCACAAUGAAAGAAUUAUUGUAACUUGCAUUCAUAAAAAUUAAAAUUCCUCAUUAAAGACAUCAUGAAUGAAAUUAAAAGUCAAAA